rnacentral:rRNA from 1 species
GACGAACGCUGGCGGCGUGCCUAAUACAUGCAAGUCGAGCGAAGUUUUUCUGGUGCUUGCACUAGAAAAACUUAGCGGCGAACGGGUGAGUAACACGUAAAGAACCUGCCUCAUAGACUGGGACAACUAUUGGAAACGAUAGCUAAUACCGGAUAACAGCAUUAACUGCAUGGUUGAUGUUUAAAAGUUGGUUUUGCUAACACUAUGAGAUGGCUUUGCGGUGCAUUAGCUAGUUGGUGGUGUAAAGGCCUACCAAGGCGACGAUGCAUAGCCGACCUGAGAGGGUGAUCGGCCACACUGGGACUGAGACACGGCCCAGACUCCUACGGGAGGCAGCAGUAGGGAAUCUUCCGCAAUGGGCGAAAGCCUGACGGAGCAACGCCGCGUGAGUGAAGAAGGAUUUCGGUUCGUAAAGCUCUGUUGUUAGGGAAGAAUGAUUGUGUAGUAACUAUACACAGUAGAGACGGUACCUAACCAGAAAGCCACGGCUAACUACGUG